UACGUAGGGGGCAAGCGUUAUCCGGAUUUACUGGGUGUAAAGGGAGCGUAGGCGGCUUAGUAAGUCAGAAGUGAAAGCCCGCAGCUCAACUGCGGGACUGCUUUUGAAACUGCCAAGCUAGAGUGUCGGAGAGGUAAGUGGAAUUCCUAGUGUAGCGGUGAAAUGCGUAGAUAUUAGGAGGAACACCAAUGGCGAAGGCAGGUCUCUGGGCCGUUACUGACGCUGAGGAGCGAAAGCGUGGGGAGCGAACAGG
rnacentral:rRNA from 1 species